rnacentral:rRNA from 1 species
GACGAACGCUGGCGGCGUGCUUAAUACAUGCAAGUCGAACGAAAAGACCCUGCUUUUGUUGGUUUCUCGAUUGGCGAGCGGGGGAGUAACACGUGAGUAACCUGCCCUUAUCUUUGGGAUAACUCCAGGAAACUGGGGCUCAUACCGCAUAGGAUAUCCUGAUCCAUGUUGUUCGUUGGUAAGAUUCGGCGGUUGGGGAUGUACUCGCGGCUUAUGCGCUGCUUGGUGUGGUAGGUGCUUACCAGGGCUGUGACGGGUAGCCGGCAUGAGAGAGUGACCGGCGACCAGGGUACUGAGAGACGGCGCAGAAGCGAAUGGGAGGCAGCAGGGGGGAAUAUUGCAGAAUGGGCGGAAGCCUGAGGUAGAAACGCCGCGUGCGGGAUGACGGCCUUCUGGUGGUAAACCGAUGUCGCCGGUGACGAAGAGUGCGUGACGGUAAUGGGUAAAGAAGCACCGGCUAACUACGUG